CAAAAAUUCAACAAACAGACAUCACUUCGUAAGAGACACUCUGAGUCAAAUUAAUAAAAGGAAAAGGUUUAUUAUUCUUGCAAGAACAAUAAGGCUCAGUCACCAACACAGAUUACUGCGAAGUGGAGUGACGCCCAGAACACAGGCCGGGGUGAAGACUAAAUAGCCCUCCCCAAGGUUAUUUACUGCAAGCCGAGCCUUCUCUGUAAAUUUCCACAAAGUUAUAGGAUUCAUGAUGCCAGGUUAGAUUUACUAACCCUCUCAACCCCUCCCAGUCUAAGAUGACCCCUGAGUCUGACCCGGCCGGUCCUCUGGUGCCUAGCUCCACUCUUGAUAAGGGAGAACAAUUAAUACAUGUGAGAUUAAAAUUCCCCACAACAAUUCCCCCCUGUUUAUCAUUAGCUUACCCAUAAUCAUAAUAAUAAACAAAGACAAAUUUUAAGCCCAACAUCACAUUUAUACCCUUCAAUUGAUUUUCGCAUAAAUGACCACUCUGCUUAAACAUCUGUUGAAAAAAUAGUAUUUGUAAAAGAAGAAAGCUUAAGGCUGUUUUUGCGGAGUAAAGCUCCAUUAAUUGUCUAGCAAGCAAGUAAAGCAUUUUAUUUGAAGCCGGGCUAAAUGAAUAAUCACUGUUAUUGCACUCCUGAUAAAAAUCAGACCCUUAGUCACUCCAAAUAUAUAAGAAAUAGGUUAUAGAUUAGCAAGAAAAACAACCAACAAAACCCCAUAAUUGUUCCAAUAUGAUAUUAAAAUACACCAAAAUGCAGCAGUCCUAUCGCUACAAUUGGCAGUACCGUCUGGAUUAUCCAGUACACCCAUCCUCCCCACAUAGACAUGAACCACCCAACCCAUGCCCCAUUAGCAUGUUCAGGCUCCUUUACCACCUGUCUCAUGUGUUCAAUCCACCAGUUAUGUUGUCACUGUAGUCUGGAAUGUUAAAACAACACUUCUAAUUCAAUUUAGUAAGCCCUAUUGAAUGCUUGUUAACAAAUCUUACCAGAUAAGUCUUAUAAUUUUAUCCUUUCCUGUAACCAAAUUAGUUGUUCAAAAUGAACUCUAAUAUCUCUAGUACAGACACAUCGAUCAAUACAUUUCCUAUAUUUGCACCAAUCAAA